UACGUAGCAGCGAGCGUUGUUCGGAGUUACUGGGCGUAAAGAGUGCGUAGGCGGUUUCUAAGUUUGGUGUGAAAUCUCCCGGCUCAACUGGGAGGGUGCGCCGAAGACUGGAAGGCUUGAGUAUGGGAGAGGUAAGCGGAAUUCCUGGUGUAGCGGUGAAAUGCGUAGAUAUCAGGAGGAACACCUGCGGUGUAGACGGCUUCUGGACCUAACUGACGCUGAGGCACGAAAGCGUGGGUAGCAAACAGG
rnacentral:rRNA from 1 species